rnacentral:rRNA from 1 species
CGCGUAUCCAACCUGCCCACCACUUGGGGAUAACCUUGCGAAAGUAAGACUAAUACCCAAUGAUAUCUCUAGAAGACAUCUGAAAGAGAUUAAAGAUUUAUCGGUGAUGGAUGGGGAUGCGUCUGAUUAGCUUGUUGGCGGGGUAACGGCCCACCAAGGCAACGAUCAGUAGGGGUUCUGAGAGGAAGGUCCCCCACAUUGGAACUGAGACACGGUCCAA